AGCGAACGCUGGCGGCAGGCUUAACACAUGCAAGUCGAGCGGGCACUUCGGUGUCAGCGGCAGACGGGUGAGUAACACGUGGGAACGUACCCUUCGGUUCGGAAUAACGCUGGGAAACUAGCGCUAAUACCGGAUACGCCCUCUUGGGGAAAGGUUUACUGCCGAAGGAUCGGCCCGCGUCUGAUUAGCUAGUUGGUGGGGUAAUGGCCUACCAAGGCGACGAUCAGUAGCUGGUCUGAGAGGAUGAUCAGCCACACUGGGACUGAGACACGGCCCAGACUCCUACGGGAGGCAGCAGUGGGGAAUAUUGGACAAUGGGCGCAAGCCUGAUCCAGCCAGGCCGCGUGAGUGAUGAAGGCCUUAGGGUUGUAAAGCUCUUUUGUCCGGGACGAUAAUGACGGUACCGGAAGAAUAAGCCCCGGCUAACUUCGUG
rnacentral:rRNA from 1 species